GGCCGGUUAGUUCAGUCGGUUAGAACGUGGUGCUGAAAACACCAAGGUCCAGGGUUCAAAACCUGUACUGGCCA